rnacentral:rRNA from 1 species
CAGUCGCCACGGUAAUACGUAAGGGGCGAGCGUUGUUCGGAAUUAUUGGGCGUAAAGGGCAUGUAGGCGGUUAGGUAAGCCUGAUGCGAAAUGUACGAGCCUAACUCGUAAACUGCAUUGGGUACUGCUUGACUUGAAUCAUGGAGGGGAAACUGGAAUUCCAAGUGUAGGGGUGGAAUCUGUAGAUAUCUGGAAGAACACCGGUGGCGAAGGCGGGUUUCUAGCCAAUGAUUGACGCUAAGGUGCGAAGGUGCGGGGAGCAAACAGGAUUAGAUACCCCCGUAGUCCCUGUCUCUUAUAC